AAUAUUGGACAAUGGGCGAAAGCCUGAUCCAGCCAUGCCGCGUGUGUGAAGAAGGUCUUCGGAUUGUAGAGCAAUUUAAGUUAGGAGGAAGGGUUGUAGAUGAAUACUCUGCAAUUUUGACGUUACCGACAGACUAAGCACAGGCUAACUUAGUGCGAGCAGCCGCGGGAAUACGUAGGGUGCAAGAGUGACUCGGAAGUACUGGGCGUAAAGCGCGCGUAGGUGGUUCGUUAAGUUUGAUGUGAAAGCCCCGAGCUCAACCUGGGAACUGCAUCCAAAACUGGCGAGCUAGAGUACGGUAGAGGGUGGUGGAAUUUCCUGUGUAGCGGUGAAAUGCGUAGAUAUAGGAAGGAACACCAGUGGCGAAGGCGACCACCUGUACUGAUACUGACACUGAGGUGCGAAAGCGUGGGGAGCAAACAGG
rnacentral:rRNA from 1 species